CCUACGGGAGACAGCAGUGGGGAAUAUUGCGCAAUGGGCGAAAGCCUGACGCAGCGACGCCGCGUGAGGGAUGAAGGGCUUCGGAUCGUAAACCUCUGUCAGCAGGGAAGAACGGGCACUGUGCUAAUCAGGAGUGAAUUGACGGCAACUGCAAAGGAAGCACCGGCUAACGCCGUGACAGCAGCCGAUGUAAUACGGAGGGUGCGAGCGUUAUUCGGAAUUACUGGGCGGAAAGCGCUCGUAGGCGGUAUGUCAAGUCAAGGGUGAAAUCCCCGCGCUCAACGUGGGAACUGCCUUUGAAACUGGCAAACUGGAGUGUGUGAGGGGAUAGUGGAAUUCCAGGUGUAGGAGUGAAAUCCGUAGAUAUCUGGAGGAACAUCAGUGGCGAAGGCGACUAUCUGGCACGUAACUGACGCUGAGGACCGAAAGCGUGGGUAGCAAACAGGAUUAGAUACCCCUGUAGUC
rnacentral:rRNA from 1 species